UUGCAAUUCCUAACAUAUCAUACGAAAUGGGUGAUGGACAUCCACAAAUUAAAACAUACCAUAUGAAAUGUUAGGGUUUGACCAACUAUUUGUUUGCAUAACCUAUAUAAUAUAACAAAGAAGCUAUGCUAUAAUAUUUAAGUUUAUACUCUAUAUGAUAAGAGCAUACUGCUGUGUGAGAGGAAGGGGCUCAUGGGAUGUUGAGUCAUAUGGAAAGAAUGCAGAUGCUGUAAAUUAGGGAUAUGGAAGAGCUUGUUAAAAGAUAUGGGCAGCAGGAUAUGGGUGAAAUGUAUAUGCGGAGGGGUGUCGGGGUUUUAGAGAACUGUGCAGUCACAAGAUAAAUCGACUGCCAAAGAUAAUAACUACGCCCGGCAACAGGAGGCGUCUUGAGGUUGGGACCAACCUGCACGCCAACGAUAGGAUGAGUAAGUUUAAACCACGCUCAUCCUCCCUCUGACAGGCCAGCAGUGAACGGGAACUAUCUCUGUCAGAGUAAUGAAAAGCAAAGGAUGUGAAACUCAGUUCUCUGUCUGCCCUGCGUGGUGACACAGCGACCCCGUAUAUACGAACAUCAUAUUUACCAUAAAUGUGUUUGCAUUAAUUAAAGUACAAAGAAAUCAGAAGUUACUAUGUGCUGACUAUUUUGUUCUGAUACCAGAUUCGAAUUGACACGACCUAACAGAAACUUAACAUAUCAUACUAAAUAUAGUGUUUCUGAUUUAUGUACAGAAUAAUACGGAAUUCCAAACAUUGUAGAUAGCAAGGGGUGCCUUGAGAACCACACAGCAACUACCCUAAAUACCUCCAGGUAAUUAGCGUGACGCUAAAUCAUUUUACGGCGACAUAUUGAGGCCAAUAUCCCUUAGUUACAGUGACCUACCUACCCACCACAGUGUGAGUGACAGGCUGAGCUGUGCUGCAUGCGUCAGGUAUGUUAACGCCUUCAUCUGAGGCAACAGCACCGUUCCACCGGUAACACCCACAAGUCAAACUGAUCGUUCCUACACCACGAGGAUUCCGUUUACUUCUGAACUUGGACGCGCUCUCACGGUAAACGAAAAGCCUGAAAGAGGUUCAACAACAUCUGGAGCACCUGAGCUGAGUGACUUGGAGGGCCAGAGAAAAGUGGUUGAGACGCUCCUGAACUGCGCUGAGUGACUUGGAGGGCCAGAGAAAAGUGGUUGAGACGCUCCUGAACUGCGCUGAGUGACUUGGAGGGCCAGAGAAACGAAGUUGAGACAACAGAGAGGCCCAAAACGUAGAGGCUUGUACUGUGAGUACUGUAACCUCUUGGUUGGACUUUUCCAUUAUGGCUAGUCUGUAUGGUGUAUGUAUGCUAACAUGCUAACGUUGUGGCCUGUCUNNNNNNNNNNNNNNNNNNNNAUAGCGGAAGCUUUUCUGCCAGCUAACACGGAGAAGAAAGACUAGUGUCUGUGUGUAUCAGAAAGCUCCUCUUGCCAGCUAACACUGAGAAGAAAGACUAGUGUCUGUGUGUAUCGGAAAGCUUUUCUGCCAGCUAACACGGAGAAGAAAGACUAGUGUCUGUGUGUAUCGGAAAGCUUUUCUGCCAGCUAACACGGAGAAGAAAGACUAGUGUCUGUGUGUAUCGGAAAGCUUUUCUGCCAGCUAACACGGAGAAGAAAGACUAGUGUCUGUGUGUAUCAGAAAGCUCCUCUUGCC
rnacentral:lncRNA from 8 species